rnacentral:misc_RNA from 1 species
AAGUCGUAACAAGGUUUCCGUAGGUGAACCUGCGGAAGGAUCAUUAACACGUAUCCAACGUAAAAAACCCCCCUUCUGACAAAUGAGAAGUUACAGUUACGAUUGAGCGGAGAUAGCUGCAUGGCAUCCCGAAGCAGUCAGUGUCUGAAAGUGUCAUUGAUUGUCUAAGGAUCUCGCCUCAACGAUUGCCAGAGGUCGCUCACCGACCGGCAGACAUGCAACCGGGUCCCCACGCCCCUUUACAACCCCAUUACCUCUGUGAGUCGCGGGAAACUAGCGGCUAAAAAACCUCGAACAACUGUUAACAAUGGAUAUCUUGGUUCUC